rnacentral:rRNA from 1 species
AACGAACGCUGGCGGCAUGCCUAACACAUGCAAGUCGAACGAGACCUUCGGGACUAGUGGCGCACGGGUGCGUAACGCGUGGGAACCUGCCCUUAGGUUCGGAAUAACUCCCCGAAAGGGGUGCUAAUACCGGAUAAUGUCUUCGGACCAAAGAUUUAUCGCCCUUGGAUGGGCCCGCGUUGGAUUAGCUUGUUGGUAGGGUAAAAGCCUACCAAGGCGACGAUCCAUAACUGGUCUGAGAGGAUGAUCAGCGACACUGGGAGUGAGACACGGCCCAGACUCCUACGGGAGGCAGCAGUGGGGAAUAGUGGACAAUGGGCGAAAGCCUGAUCCAGCAAUGCCGGGUGAGUGAUGAAGGCCUUAGGGUUGUAAAGCUUUUUUACCCGGGAUGAUAAUGACAGUACCGGGAGAAUAAGCCCCGGCUAACUCCGUG